rnacentral:tRNA from 2 species
GGGUGCUUAGCUCAGUUGGUAGAGCGCCGCCCUUACAAGGCGGAUGUCGGGAGUUCGAGCCUCUCAGCACCCACCA